rnacentral:rRNA from 1 species
GACCUGAUGCAGCCAUGCCGCGUGUGUGAAGAAGGCCUUCGGGUUGUAAAGCACUUUCAGUUGUGAGGAAAAGUUAGUAGUUAAUACCUGCUAGCCGUGACGUUAACAACAGAAGAAGCACCGGCUAACUCCGUGCCAGCAGCCGCGGUAAUACGGAGGGUGCGAGCGUUAAUCGGAAUUACUGGGCGUAAAGCGCACGCAGGCGGUUUGUUAAGCUAGAUGUGAAAGCCCCGGGCUCAACCUGGGAUGGUCAUUUAGAACUGGCAGACUAGAGUCUUGGAGAGGGGAGUGGAAUUCCAGGUGUAGCGGUGAAAUGCGUAGAUAUCUGGAGGAACAUCAGUGGCGAAGGCGACUCCCUGGCCAAAGACUGACGCUCAUGUGCGAAAGUGUGGGUAGCGAACAGGAUUAGAUACCCUGGUAGUCCACACCGUAAACGCUGUCUACUAGCUGUUUGUGACUUUAAGCCGUGAGUAGCGAAGCUAACGCGAUAAGUAGACCGCCUGGGGAGUACGGCCGCAAGGUUAAAACUCAAG